rnacentral:rRNA from 1 species
AGCUCCAAUAGCGUAUAUUAAAGUUGUUGCAGUUAAAAAGCUCGUAGUUGGAUUUUUUUUCGGAGCGUUGGGUCCGGCGUUAAUUCGUUGUGUACUCGUCUCGCGUCCGAAAUUCUUUGCGGCGAACGUGCCUGGUAUUUAGUUAUCGGGUAUGGGAGCCGCAUCUUUUACUGUGAAAAAAUUAGAGUGUUCAUAGCAGGCUUACGCCGUUGAAUACAUUAGCAUGGAAUAAUAAGAUAGGACUUUGGUGGUCUAUUUUGUUGGUUUGCACACCAAGGUAAUGAUUAAUAGGGAUAGUUGGGGGUAUUCGUAUUCAAUUGUCAGAGGUGAAAUUCUUGGAUUUAUGGAAGACGAACUACUGCGAAAGCAUUUACCAAGGAUGUUUUCA